GUGCUGUGGUGUACAGAGGCUGAGGACAGAGCAAGGACAAACCUCCUGCUUUUAAUUUUGCUGAGGGUGUAAAAUGAGUCGAGGCUUUCUGCAGUCACUAUUCUAUUCAUAUCUUUUGUGUCCGAUGCUAUUUUUGUUGGCUGUGCCCCUGGAGGUGGAGGUGUAGAAGUGCGUUUCUGCUGGUCUUCGCAAGCGGUGUAGAUGUUUCCUCUGUUCCAGGCACCACCUCAGACGCUGCGGCCUUACAGGAGGAGUAGGCGGAUGUCAGCAUGGCCUGUAACUUUUUAAUACUUCCUUUUAUUUUGGCUUUACAUUUCUUCCAUGGAACGAACAUCUCUGGGUAGCCACUGGGAGGUGUAAACGGCUUGGGAUGGAAACCACAGCUUGUAGGUGCGCCCUCUGCCAGGCUUUUCUGGCACCCGAGGAAGCCCAGACUCUGCCUGUUCCCAAGCGAAAGGGAUAUUACCAGCUGCUCGGUGAGAAAACAAAUUCACAGAGAUACAGGAAAGUGUGUUAAGUUGGUGGGAAGCAACGGGCAUGAGAUUCCUGGCAGCUUGGGUGACUGACAUUAUUUUGGAACCUGAUUCUCAAACAUCUGGGAUUAGCUCUCCUGGAAAUGUGAGGACGUGGGCCCUCUAGUGCCACUUGGAAAAUGCAGGUAUUCCAGCCCACAGUUCUGCAAGGGAGGUGUUAUUUGGCAAGUCUCCUGCAUGUGGCCGGUCCAACUGGAUAAUAGGUCCAGCAGUAACUCCUAGCAACAGGAACUCUUCCCCGUCAGUGGUUGCUUGAUGUCCUGUGUGAAAUGAGAGUUCAGCCAAUGGUAUAGGCACUUCUUAGUGGACAAGUACCCACGCAUGUAAUUCUGCAGUAACUGGUGUCUCCGUGUCUGCCAUUCUCCCUUGCCAGCCCAGCAGAGAUAACUGAAGUUACCUGGAAAUAAAUUUCUCCAUCAAGUGUCCUAGCUGAGGCUUUGCUGCAAUAACAGCACAUGCACAACUUGUGCUGCUUAGUUUAUCUUUGAAUGGACAAUUGCUAUCUCCAGGCCUACAGAGUAAGCAUUGUUAGAUAUAUUAAAAUAAUUUUUAAAAAGUCUUCUGACUCCGAAGUUCACAGCCUUUCAGUUUAUGUAUAUCCAGCUGGGAAAUCAUGCCCACUAAUUUUUACUGAAGUUUGCAGUUGAUUGACCCACCAGUACAAUGCCAGGAUGCUGGGUAGACUUGUGCAGCUCCUCCGAAGUUCAGGUGCAUUCAAGAUGCACGGCUCAAGGAUGACCAGUCUAUUACCUCUAAUAUCAUUGAUGGAUAAAACCCCUACAGAUUCAA